UAUAUCCAUUUACACCUGUGAACCGUUUGAUUGACACUCUGUGUUGAUUUUACAAACAAUAUGUAAAGAAAGUCAAGUUAUUAUAACAAAAAAUAACUUUCAACAACGGAUCUCUUGGCUCUCGCAUCGAUGAAGAACGCAGCGAAAUGCGAUAAGUAAUGUGAAUUGCAGAAUUCAGUGAAUCAUCGAAUCUUUGAACGCAACUUGCGCUCUCUGGUAUUCCGGAGAGCAUGCCUGUUUGAGUGUCAUGAAAUCUCAACCAUUAGGGUUUCUUAAUGGCUUGGAUUUGGGUGUUGCCAGUCUCUGGCUCGCCUUAAAGGAGUUAGCGAGUUUAACAAUGUCGUCUGGCGUAAUAAGUUUCGCUGGUAAGACUUGUGAAGUUUGCUUCUAAUCGUCUUCGGACAAUUACUUUGACUCUGGCCUCAAAUCAGGUAGGACU
rnacentral:rRNA from 1 species